CAUUUUAUUAUACCCCCGCAACAAGUUGUGGGGGGUAUACUGGAAUCGGGUUGUCCGUCUGUCUGUCCGUCCGUCCGUCCGUCUGUAGACGCAAUGGUUUCCGGACUCUAAAGCAUUAUCCUUUCCACCUACCGUCACCAUAUCAUAUAUAUGGACUACCCAUGGGAUGAAGAUGUUCCCUAUCGAUUUUGGGGUCAAAAGGUCAAAGGUCAAGCACACUGGACAUCGAAGUAGCAAUAUGGUUUCCGGGCUCUAAAGCGUUAUCCUUUCCACCUACAGUCACCAUAUCAUACAUAUGGACUACCCCUGGGAUGAAGAUGUUCCCUAUCGAUUUUGGGGUCAAAAGAUCAAAGGUCACGCGCACUGGACAUCGAAGUAGCAAUAUGGUUCGGUUUGUCAUGCCAUUUGUUUUUUACACUCAGAAAAGAGGUAGUUUAUAGCUAUUACCAACACCCUUUGGGAUAUUGGGGUAAGCGGGGGUAUUCUUAGUGAGCAUUGCUCACAGUACGUACCUCUUGUUUUUUCUGUAAAAACAAAAAUCUAUUACGUACACAAGAUUUGCACAUUUAUAAAACAUUAUAUCAUUCAUAUAUAACAAGAAAUAGGGGUACCAAUAUUAAAGAACUCAUUGUUUGAACUAAAUUGCUCAUAAACUUGAUUGUCGAUCUUCUUGUUGGGAAUUUGAAAAUGGUUGAUGUACACUUUUUGAGGGGGGGGGGGGGGGGGAGUCUCAAAAAGUGUGCUUUUUCCACACUUUGGAAAAUGGUUGACAAUUAUGGAUGACCCCUAAUACAUGCGUCAACAAUAAGUCACAUAGCAACGAAUCCAAAUAGGUGAUACACGCUACCACUCAACGUGAUCGAUUGCAAUCAUGCGAACAAGCCUCAUGCAGUGAUAUAGAAUGCAACUAUUGGCAUAGAAUUAACCUGUAUCUCCGCCUCCCACUUCAAAUGUGUAAGAAAGCUCGUUCUCUACAGUCUGAAGUACAUUUCAAGCAGAUAGAUAAUCCAAUUAUUCUCCGUUUGCGUUAUCUGAACUUACUCGGCCGUCUUUACGAUAAUCCAGUGACAUAGACUCCAGCAUUUUCUCCUUGCCUUCCUCAUUAUCCGAUUCCUCGGACGAGAGGCUGCUGACUACAAAAAUAACAGUGUCACAAAUACAGCUCUGUAUACGGAAAUACUGUACUCUAAGAGUAUAGAUCUCUACCGUACGAAAGAAAUUGUGAGAAACAGAGGCAACUACAUGUAUAGUACCUUCUUGAGAGUCGAGCUCGUCAUUUUCCAGAAGAUUGAGGAGGACGUCCGUGGACUUGUGACGGCCGGACGAUUUGGUGGACCGGAUUUUCUGACGUUUUGAUGUAGAAGGCCCGUCUAGUAACAACCGCCGUAUUACUUGACUUUUACCCUGUGAACGAAGUAACAAAUUAUUCAUCUUACCGUGUUCCAUUGUUUAAAGAAGCAUUGUUGUCAUCAAAAAUGGAAUUCAAUGAAAAUUGCUCUAUAUUAUACAUGUAUAUUCCAGUAAUAACACCAGUAGUUAAUUAUUUCAAACAGUUUUUAACCCCGAAGCAGGCAUAUGAAUAUGUAAUUUUGAUGAUUAAAUAUUUAUUGUCUUGAAAAACAAUACUUCUUCCUUAUACCGGUAUUUUGUGUUUACACUAAAAGUGGAUAUCUAACGUAGGUUUAAUAAGUUUCUCUUGUAUUUGUACAAAAUAAAUGAUUUUAUCAAUCAUUUAUAUAUAUUCCUAUACCAUUGGAAGCUUUUGAGAGAGAGAAAUGGUUGUCUUAACUUUCACAGCUAAUGCCCCUUUAAUCAAGUCAAUAACAGAGUACAAAUGUUAUGAUUCUGUUGCAUAUUUUAAUAACGUGAAAUUACAAAGUUUUGAUAUCCUUGUGUUUCAUAUUUUGAUAAAGUGAAGUAAAUUAUUAAUAUUCUUGUGUUUCAUUUUUGAAUGGAGUAAACACGUAUGGAUUUUUAUUGCGUUUCCCAUUUUUAAUGAAAUGACGCAACGAUGUUAUUGGAUUCUAUUUUUGAAUGAAGUUGAAGUGACAUUCAUCUUAUCUAUAUUUAUGCCCCAUUGUUUGAUAAGGUGAGAUAACAAUAUAUAUGUCCUAUUGUGGUACAUUGUAUGGUGAAGUGAAAUGAACAUUCUAAAAUUUACCUUAGAUGUGUUCUGUUGUUUGUGGAUAAAUAUAUGCUUUUGUUUACUCUG